rnacentral:rRNA from 1 species
GAUGAACGCUCGCUACAGGCUUAACACAUGCAAGUCGAGGGGCAGCAUGGUCUUAGCUUGCUAAGGCCGAUGGCGACCGGCGCACGGGUGAGUAACACGUAUCCAACCUGCCGUCUACUCUUGGACAGCCUUCUGAAAGGAAGAUUAAUACAAGAUGGCAUCAUGAGUUCACAUGUUCACAUGAUUAAAGGUAUUCCGGUAGACGAUGGGGAUGCGUUCCAUUAGAUAGUAGGCGGGGUAACGGCCCACCUAGUCUUCGAUGGAUAGGGGUUCUGAGAGGAAGGUCCCCCACAUUGGAACUGAGACACGGUCCAAACUCCUACGGGAGGCAGCAGUGAGGAAUAUUGGUCAAUGGGCGAGAGCCUGAACCAGCCAAGUAGCGUGAAGGAUGACUGCCCUAUGGGUUGUAAACUUCUUUUAUAAAGGAAUAAAGUCGGGUAUGUAUACCCGUUUGCAUGUACUUUAUGAAUAAGGAUCGGCUAACUCCGUG